UACGAAGGGGGCUAGCGUUGCUCGGAAUCACUGGGCGUAAAGGGUGCGUAGGCGGGUCUUUAAGUCCGGGGUGAAAUCCUGGAGCUCAACUCCAGAACUGCCUUUGAUACUGAAGAUCUUGAGUUCGGGAGAGGUGAGUGGAACUGCGAGUGUAGAGGUGAAAUUCGUAGAUAUUCGCAAGAACACCAGUGGCGAAGGCGGCUCACUGGCCCGAUACUGACGCUGAGGCACGAAAGCGUGGGAAGCAAACAGG
rnacentral:rRNA from 1 species